rnacentral:rRNA from 1 species
GGACUACUGGGGUAUCUAAUCCUGUUUGCUCCCCACGCUGUCGCGUCUCAGCGUCAGCAACGAUCCAGAGGGCCGCCUUCGCCGCCGGUAUUCCUCCUGAUAUCUACGCAUUUCACCGCUACACCAGGAAUUCUACCCUCCUCUAUCGCGCUCGAGUCGUUCAGUUUCCAAUGCACUUCCGGAGCUGAGCCCCGGGCUUUCACAUCAGACUUAAGCGACCGCCUACACGCCCUUUACGCCCAGUCAAUCCGAACAACGCUUGCACCCUCCGUCUUACCGCGGCUGCUGGCAC